AGUGAACGCUGGCGGUAGGCCUAACACAUGCAAGUCGAACGGCAGCACAGUAAGAGCUUGCUCUUACGGGUGGCGAGUGGCGGACGGGUGAGGAGUACAUCGGAAUCUACUUUUUCGUGGGGGAUAACGUAGGGAAACUUACGCUAAUACCGCAUACGACCUACGGGUGAAAGCAGGGGAUCUUCGGACCUUGCGCGAUUGAAUGAGCCGAUGUCGGAUUAGCUAGUUGGCGGGGUAAAGGCCCACCAAGGCGACGAUCCGUAGCUGGUCUGAGAGGAUGAUCAGCCACACUGGAGCGGAGACAGCGUCCAGACUCCUACGGGAGGCAGCAGUGGGGAAUAUUGGACAAUGGGCGCAAGCCUGAUCCAGCCAUACCGCGUGGGUGAAGAAGGCCUUCGGGUUGUAAAGCCCUUUUGUUGGGAAAGAAAAGCAGCAGGUUAAUACCCCGCUGUUCUGACGGUACCCAAAGAAUAAGCACCGGCUAACUUCGUG
rnacentral:rRNA from 1 species